AAGCCGCUCGAGACACCGACAAGCCGUCCUCCCCAAACUGCCCUCAUGUACCCCCUGGCCAGUAACGAGAAAAGGGGCCCUACCCAGGCUUCGUACUGCGGAAAACGAAAUCAGCAUUUUUUAGCGCCCUUAACAGAAACAGCUACCGUGACUUUGUUGGAGAGCGCCUACGAACGGCGCGAGCAUCUUCUCUAUGCUCCCAAGAACCGUCACUCUUCUAAGUUUGGAUCAGCUUCCAACAUUUAGUACUUCGUGCUUUCAAAGUCGGAAUAUCUCUGAGAAUUCCUUUGAAGUGAAGUUUUUAAUGGUGUCAUUUGCUCUGGGAUGUCUUUGUUCUCGUUGUCACAAUCACUUUCCUCGCUCCUCUUCACUCGGCUUCGGUCUGCAUCUCCAGAGCCUCUGCGAUGACAGCGGUGUCGACCUCCCCACAGUCAGCAUGGCCUCUACAGACGUCUGAUGGGAAUCUCACUUCCAGCACCAUCACUUUCACUGCUCUGCUGCAUUUCCAUCUUGGCUGAUGGAAGUUCCCUUUUUAAGUAUCCAUGUUUAUAAAAGGUCACAAGUUAUCACCUUGGGACAAGGAGGAAACACAACUCCAUGCUUCCCUGUCUCUGGGUGAACUGACUAGUAACUGUGCAGUGACCCAUCACUGUCAGAUUCUGAAUAAGGUGAUGUGACCGGUCAUCGGUCAAGAUGCACACCUGCUGUUUACUUAGUGAUUUAUGGGCUGAAGAACUAGCUAUGAGGUUUGCACUUCAUGCAACUAAAGCUAAUAUACUGCAGUAACUGAAAUUUGGACAGUGGCUUUAAGCAACUGGUUUUAUUCAGCUAAAACGUGUAACGGAAAUGGACGCAGAUUGGAACCCCAUAAAGCAAGGAGAAACGACGGGGCAGAAUUCAAAUGCACCAGACAGUUUUCUUCCAACUCCACGGGCUACAACAGAGUAUCUCCUAUUUGUUUAAGCUGGGGCAGCAAUCAAGUUCCUAAGGUUUGCAUGAACAUUCCGAGUUGAAAAAGACAUCUGAAUCUAGGAAACAUGAAACAUUCUGAAAAAUAACCACCCAUCAGGUAGUACAGCUAUGAUGAAACCCAGGUGCAUCCAGCUCCAGAACUUGUUCUCCAACCUUAGGUAACAUGCAGCCCAAAGCGAUUUUAUGAAAAUGGCCAAAGUCUUUGAAACAAGCCCUUCCUCGCCCCCAUACCAGAGCACCUAGUUCUACUGCUGCUUACAGCUCUCGGCUGCAACGUGGAUGGUUACCCAUUGGAGGAAGCUCUCAUCUCACGGGAAAGGCAAAGAAAAGACAGACUUCUUUUUCUGUACAGAACUGCUAGUACCCACUGCCUAAUACGUGCCAAUAAUAUGACAAUAAUAUUUUCUCCCAGGAUGACUGACUUUUCUAAAGCACAAGUCUGAUCAUGUUACUCUCUUCUUGAAGCUCUUUAAUAGUUUUGAAGUUUCUAGCCUGAGUGAUCAAUGUCCAUCCUGGUUCAUGGAAUGACCAACGUAUGAGGAGCAGUGCGUGUGGGAAGGCAGUGGACUUCGUGGAGAGUUCACCUCUAGAGGGGCAUUGCUCUGACCCUCUACAGAGACCUGUGGUCCACCAAAGGGCAGCCUUUAUUAGGGGGACAAGGGCCCGGCCAGACCUGCAGUCAUGGACCCAAGUGGAGAGCAGUCCCAUGGGGACGGGACUUGUGUGCCUCAGUUUCCUCCAGGUACAAGGAUCUGGACCAUGUUGAGAGGAUCAAGUGAGAAAAUCCAGGUAAAUGCUUCAAAGGGGGUGGAGGGCAUAGCAUGCGUCCAAUAGACGUCAGCUGCUGUGACUAUUACUGUCCAAGUUAUUAGCACUGCUCACGUGAGAACUCAGGCAGUGUCCUCUGCGAGGCCACGUGGACAAAAACUCAAGUCAACCUCUAUAAAGGAUGAGAGGAAAACACUGACUGACAUUCUUUCAGGGUGUGCACAGACCUUAGCCUUUAUUUUUAACAAAACUAGUUAACUGCAACUGAAUCUUGCGAACGGGUGACACAUCUGGGGAGAAGGACAGAAUCAUACUUCAGGUGCAACAAAGAACAAAAUUUUCUAAAAGAUGCCAUCAUGACAAAAAUACGUUUUUAAAGUAAAAAUUAGUUUCGGGCUUCCCUGGUGGCGCAGUGGUUAAGAAUCCGCCUGCCAAUGCAGGGGACACGGGUUCGUGCCCUGGUCCGGGAAGAUCCCACAUGCCACGGAGCAACUGGGCCCGUGAGCCACAACUACUGAGCCUGCGCGUCUGGAGCCUGUGCUCCGCAACAAGAGAAGCCGCGACAGUGAGAGGCCCGCGCACCACGAUGAAGAGUGGCGCCCGCUUGCCGCAACUAGAGAAAGCUCUCGCACAGAAACGAAGACCCAACACAUCCAAAAUUAAAAAAAAUUUAAAAAAAUUAAAAA